AACGAACGCUGGCGGCAUGCCUAACACAUGCAAGUCGAACGAGACCUUCGGGUCUAGUGGCGCACGGGUGCGUAACGCGUGGGAACCUGCCCUUAGGUUCGGAAUAACUCCCCGAAAGGGGUGCUAAUACCGGAUAAUGUCUUCGGACCAAAGAUUUAUCGCCCUUGGAUGGGCCCGCGUUGGAUUAGCUAGUUGGUAGGGUAAAAGCCUACCAAGGCGACGAUCCAUAGCUGGUAUGAGAGGAUGAUCAGCCACACUGGGACUGAGACACGGCCCAGACUCCUACGGGAGGCAGCAGUGGGGGAUAUUGGACAAUGGGCGAAGGCCUGAUCCAGCAAUGCCGCGUGAGUGAUGAAGGCCUUAGGGUUGUAAAGCUCUUUUACCCGGGAUGAUAAUGACAGUACCGAGAGAAUAAGCUCCGGCUAACUCCGUG
rnacentral:rRNA from 1 species